UACAGAGGGGGCAAGCGUUGUUCGGAAUUACUGGGCGUAAAGGGCGCGUAGGCGGCCUGCUAAGUCGAACGUGAAAUCCCUGGGCUCAACCCAGGAACUGCGUCCGAUACUGGUUGGCUUGAAUCCGGGAGAGGGAUGUGGAAUUCCAGGUGUAGCGGUGAAAUGACGUAGAUAUCUGGAGGAACACCGGUGGCGAAGGCGACAUCCUGGACCGGCAUUGACGCUGAGGCG
rnacentral:rRNA from 1 species